GACGAACGCUGGCGGCGUGCUUAACACAUGCAAGUCGAACGGAAAGGCCCUGCUUUUGUGGGGUGCUCGAGUGGCGAACGGGUGAGUAACACGUGAGUAUCCUGCCCUUGUCUUUGGGAUAACUUCAGGAAACUGGGGCUAAUACCGGAUAGGAGCUCCUGCUGCAUGGUGGGGGUUGGAAAGUUUCGGCGGUUGGGGAUGGACUAGCGGCUUAUCAGCUUGUUGGUGGGGUAGUGGCUUACCAAGGCUUUGACGGGUAGCCGGCCUGAGAGGGUGACCGGCCACAAUGGGACUAAGAGACGGCCCAGACUCCUACGGGAGGCAGCAGUGGGGAAUAUUGCACAAUGGGCGGAAGCCUGUGACAGCAACGCCGCGUGCGGGAUGACGGCCUUCGGGUUGUAAACCGCUUUCGCCUGUGACGAAGCGGGAGUGACGGUAAUGGGUAAAGAAGCACCGGCUAACUACGUG
rnacentral:rRNA from 1 species